rnacentral:rRNA from 1 species
AUUGAACGCUGGCGGCAGGCUUAACACAUGCAAGUCGAGCGAGCGGCGGACGGGUGACCAAUGUCUGGGAAACUGCCUGAUGGAGGGGGAUAACUACUGGAAACGGUAGCUAAUACCGCAUACCAUCAGAUGCGCCCAGAUGGGAUUAGGUAGUAGGUGGGGUAAUGGCUCACCUAGGCGACGAUCCCUAGCUGGUCUGAGAGGAUGACCAGCCACACUGGAACUGAGACACGGUCCAGACUCCGACGGGAGGCAGCAGUGGGUAAUAGUGCACAAUGGGCGCAAGCCUGAUGCAGCCAUGCCGCGUGUUUGAAGAAGGCCUUCGGGUUGUAAAGCACUUUCAGCGAGGAGGCGUUACUCGCAGAAGAAGCACCGGCUAACUCCGUGCCAGCAGCCGCGGUAAUUC